rnacentral:lncRNA from 1 species
CAAAUCUGAUAUCGGUGCAAAGAGUUAUGGUCGAUCUACUUUAGCUUAUCAAAAUAGUCCACCAAAGGACAGAUUUGACAUUAUUUAAAUUUUAAAGGCAUUUUGGUCAUUUCUUAUUAUAUUAUGGACGGAAAUAUGUGUAUAUAUACAUGUAUAUGGGUUCAAAAACUCAUUUUCAUCAUCAAUUAUUGAGAAAGAACAAACCCUAG